rnacentral:rRNA from 1 species
CCUUACCGCCAUGACCUUGAGAACAUCCGAUCUCGUUCGAUCUCAGACGCUAAGCAGGGUUGGGCUUGGUCAGUACUGGGACGGGAGACCACUGGGAGUACCACGUUACACAGUGGAGC